GUAGGUGGCAAGCGUUGUCCGGAAUUAUUGGGCGUAAAGCGCGCGCAGGCGGUCCUUUAAGUCUGAUGUGAAAGCCCACGGCUCAACCGUGGAGGGUCAUUGGAAACUGGGGGACUUGAGUACAGAAGAGGAAAGCGGAAUUCCAAGUGUAGCGGUGAAAUGCGUAGAGAUUUGGAGGAACACCAGUGGCGAAGGCGGCUUUCUGGUCUGUAGCUGACGCUGAGGCGCGAAAGCGUGGGGAGCAAACAGGGAUUAGAUACCCUGGUAGUCCACGCCGUAAACGAUGAGUGCUAAGUGUUAGGGGGUUUCCCGCCCCUUAGUGCUGCAGCUAACGCAUUAAGCACUCCGCCUGGGGAGUACGGCCGCAAGGCUG
rnacentral:rRNA from 1 species